GUAGGGUGCGAGCGUUGUCCGGAAUUAUUGGGCGUACAGAGCUUGUAGGCGGUUUGUCGCGUCUGCUGUGAAAUUUCGGGGCUCAACCCCGAACUUGCAGUGGGUACGGGCAGACUAGAGUGUGGUAGGGGAGACUGGAAUUCCUGGUGUAGCGGUGAAAUGCGCAGAUAUCAGGAGGAACACCGAUGGCGAAGGCAGGUCUCUGGGCCACUACUGACGCUGAGAAGCGAAAGCAUGGGGAGCGAACAGG
rnacentral:rRNA from 1 species